AGCCAUGCUUCAGGCACCACACCAACAAAAACUAUCAACAUCCCUGAGUCACAACUUACACCACAGAGUCAUGGAUACAAUGAUCAGAUCACUCCAACCAGGGAAACAGAUAUUGCUUUAGUACCAACAGAGCAAGAUACAAGGUCCGUCAAUGCUCUUGAUAUCCUUACUCAAACUGCACUUGCAACGUCAACAAAUACACCAUAGAAGAAUGAUGGCACAGUUUUUGCUAAGACUACUGUUAAUCCAAAGGACUCCAAGGAUGAAGCUGCUAAUUCAACAACUAAGAUAGAAAAGACUAACACAAGGAAAAGGUCCCGCCCCUCACCUAGCAAGAAAAUUACUAGAAAAUUGUUGCUUGAUAAAGACAAUGAAGAUGAAGAUGAUGACUGUGUUCAUGACACUCCCAAGCCUAGUUCCAGCACCGAUGCUUAGAAGGAAGACGCAGAUCAGCUCAUUUUGUGUUCUCACAGUUGCAGCCAUGCCUAGGCCUACAUCCGCUGAAUUGCUACUACAUGCAAUAUAUUCAGCUCUUUUAUAACCUAAUACGCAGCAUUAAUUAACUCUCUUUUGGAUAUUUUAAUGGCUGCAAAUUAUGUUAUUUCCUCUUUAAUUAUUAGCGCUCACUUUUGCUUGGAUUAGCAUUCUAAGCUACCUACUAAAAUGUUUGGUAGCUACUAAUGCUGAUCCUCAAUUGUAUGUAAUAUAUAUAUGGCUUGACAGAACCUAUCGGCUGCACAUGCCAUUCAAUCAAUAGUACUGUCACCACUGUUAACA